AUGACGCAGUUGAGCUGUUGGAAUGUGCUCUCAUGGAAUAUUCGCGGGCUCAAUUCUGAGAAGAAGCAACUGGCUCUGAAUAAUCCUAUCACUACCAGUGGUUGUUCUAUCAUUUGCCUUCAGGAGACUAAGAUGCCUGAAGUUACUUUUGCUUUCAUUAAAACUUGUUGUCCUAGACAAUUUUAUCGUUUCGCUUUUGUCCCUUCGCGAGGCGCCUCUGGGGGGUUGCUAACUAUCUGGAAAAGUUCGGUUUUCUCUGCUUCGGUACUCUCGUCUAACUCAUUUGCGCUAGCCAUCGAUUUCGUUAGCACACAAUCCUCUCAGCGUUGGACGUUAGUUAAUGUGUAUGGGCCCUGCACUGGUACAGACAGAGAUGUUUUCACGCAAUGGUUGUAUGACGUUCAAAUACCCAGUAAUCAAGACUGGUUACUUCUGGGCGACUUUAAUUACAUGAGAGCUCCGGACAAUCGUAAUAAACCUGGGGUUAACAUUCACGACAUCAUUACAUUCAAUGACAUAAUUCGUAAGAAGCAAUUGAUUGAGCUUCCGAUGAAAGGGAGAACCUAUACUUGGAGCAAUAUCCCUUGCAUUGUCUCUAUCGAGACCAAACUCCGCCGAUCCAAGCUCUUUCGUUUUGAAUCUUACUGGACCUUACACCCAGGGUUUAUGGACAUUGUUAGAGAGGUUUGGGAGCGGCCAGUUAGGAACGCAAAUGCUGCCACAAUCCUUUGUCGAAAGUUCAAAGCUCUUCGACAUGCUCUCAAAAUCUAG
rnacentral:rRNA from 1 species